UACAGAGGUCUCAAGCGUUGUUCGGAUUCAUUGGGCGUAAAGGGUGCGUAGGUGGCGCCGUAAGUCAGGUGUGAAAUUUCGGAGCUUAACUCCGAAACUGCAUUUGAUACUGCGGUGCUUGAGGACUGGAGAGGAGACUGGAAUUUACGGUGUAGCAGUGAAUGCGUAGAGAUCGUAAGGAAGACCAGUGGCGAAGGCGGGUCUCUGGACAGUUCCUGACACUGAGGCACGAAGGCCAGGGAGCAAACGGG
rnacentral:rRNA from 1 species